UUAGUCAGCUUGUAUACGCGACCGCGGAUAGGGCUGGAGAGUAACCGUGCGGAAAACGCGUAGUCGGAAAUCAAUGGAGCCGCUCGAACGCGUCCGCAGGGCCGAACAGUGUGUGCGAAGAGGAAAAUAAUCGGGCCGGGCUCGGCUCUGCCAAUACAACUUACCUAACCUUGCAGCAGGACCGCUCUUGGUUCGCUGGCCAGUUCCGCGUAGCCCCGUGCCCGACGAAACUUUUCCAUGUAGCCGUCGCGCGGCGAUUGAUUCAAUCCGCGGCCGCCGAUUCACCCCUAUGACCGAGCCUUCAUCGAGGGUAGACACGUCGAGCCCGACCGAACACGGGGGUUAACGAAAAGAUUUGUAGAAAAAUGGGGGAUACGAUUCGGAAAAGACGAAAAAAAAGAGAAAGGGGGAGAGAGAGAGAAAAUAUAGAGAGAGGGAGAGAGAGAAAGAGAGAAAAAAAACUGUUCACGGGUAACGGUAUAUCCCAGCCAUGUCGAAAACACGAAAGCAGGCACGAUUUGCCGCGGGCAAGCGCGCGCGCGCGCGCUCACGCUCUCUCCCGACGUGGGUCUUCUCUUCUUUCACUGACACACACCGAAAGACUUGGCCCGGUAACGCGUUACUGCCACCUCACGCAUAUCUGUCCGUCAUAUACAGAUCCCACAGAAUCGAAAGCGUCCCUGUACGCAUUCGCCUCUCUCUCGCGCCGUCUACAUAACGCUACACUGAUGACUGAUCCUACAAGAUUAUUUUCCAGACGCGAAUGUACCAACGAGAGACUACACACUCGCGACACCCGCUCGCCGACUGAACGUGUUGCUCUCGCGAGCACUGCAUUGAUGCAAUGGAAGCAGAAUCUGAGGACACCUGACGGUGCACCCCGGAAUCGAGAUGGAAGGGAGGAACACGAAACAUGACCGUCCGUAGUCCGUGGUGUCGCAUUUCAUGGGAAAUUGUUGUGGUUGAAAGCAACGAUUUUAGAUAAGCACAGUCGCGUCGGUGCUGUGUUGAAAACAAGGUAGGUUAGGUUGUUGUUUAGUGAAAUCGUUCCUCGUCGGUGACAACGGAUUUUUGGGCAUUUGUAACAAGUAUCUGCACCUUUGAAUAUUCCUGGGAUGUUUUUAUCAGUAACCGGAUCUCUCUUAUCACUUGUUGUUAUGGGGUGAGAAAAUUGGGAAUCGUUUACGCAAACUUACGGUAAGAAAUCAAAUUAUAAAAUUUAAAAAGGCAGUUAUUUUAUACAUUGAUGCAUUGAAUCCUUUACAGCCGAAUUGCGAUUUUCAGGUUGCAGCACUGCUAAUAAUUACCGCACAGUUUGCGUGUAGUAUUUUAUUACGCUCAAUUCUUCAUGUUUUUGUCUAUGAGACAUAUUGAAGUGAAUUAAAUAUUUGGGCUCUAACGUUUAAAUAUAUCUAGAGUGCAAAGUGUUAAUUGAGCAAUGUGGAAUGUUAAUUAAAAUUCAUGAUGUAUGAUUCUUUUUAUUGAGAUUAAAUUCCCAGCUUUUCUCAAGUUCUCCUUCUUUUUGUACAACAUGUGUGAUGUACAAAUAUAGCUAUUUUUUAACACUUAUUUAGUACAUCAUGAAUUAUUAGGCAGCUUCUUCAGUCUUAAUUCUUACCAACUACUCUAGAUAUUUUAAUUUCAACUAUUUUACAAUUGUACAUGUUAUUGGAUAAUAAAGUUAAAAUUAUUCUAGGAUUUCAUUAGGUUUUAGGUUAUUUGUGUAUUUCUAAUAUAAUAUAAUAUUCUUCGAUGAAACUGUAUAAAACUAUUGAAACUUUCAGAUCAACAAAUGAUUAUAAUAAAAGAUAUAUAGUAUAGUUGACUCGUGUAAAGUCUUCUGCACAAAUAUAGAUAACUAUCCAGAAGCAUAAGUAGAAACGCCAUUGAACUGUUGUAACCACAUAAGUUUAUGAAAUUUAGUAUACAUUUGGUCUAAGUUUACAAUUCAAACUAGAUUGAGCAGAAUCUGGUCUGUUAUAGAUGAGAGAAAUUUGAAAAACAGUGAUAGUAAUAGCUAAAAAAUGAAAACAUCUUUGCGAUAUCAUUUCUCUAAUUAAGAAUCUAAUUGUCACUUCUCCUCUGUUUAUGUGUAUUAUAUAUUUUUGUAUAAUUUAAGUUUGUUGGAAUAUUUUAUUUUAGCUCAAUGGACUCCUGGUUUCAAGUAUAUUUCAAUUUCAUACUUACUUUUAAUGCAGCAAUAUGUGUUGCAAAAUUUCAGAACACAAAAAUAUGGUUUCAUUAAAAGCAAAUUUAAUACUUCUCCAUACAAAGAAGUUGUUUAGUGAUGUGAAAUUAAAAAUAGCAUUAAUAGUACCCUUAUUACAGGCUAAUAAAUUGAAUUUGAGAAAGUGUGCGAUGGAAUGUAUUUAGUAUCAGGACAUUAAAAUCACUUGCUCCAAAUUCUCACUCCAUUAACAAAACCAAUUUAACUAGUAAAUUAGAUUUGAUUUUAAUUGUGUUAUGAAACAUAUGAUUCUCCAUGAUAACACUUUUCACAUUAUUGUAUUACCAGAGAGGAACUGAGAGUGUUCAUACCAAGCAUUUCAGUGAAAUGGAACAUACAUCAACUUUAGCAUGGAACAGAAUCUAUUUGUCGAUGUCAGAGGUGAUUCACAGACAUAGAUUUAAGAUCUAUGCAGGCAUUGCAUCUUGUAUUGUUUUCUAUCUAGGAUUUGGGGAAUCAUAAGCCCCCCUCUCCCUUAGCAUUUCGAUGUCGCGCUCAGCGUUACCGACAGUUUAGGCACAUUAGCAAGAAGCGAGUAUCCUCUAUACUUCAUUAUUACUACGAGUGCUUAAUCACAGACGAGUUCUCCAGGAGGAAUAGUAAAAAAAAAAUAGUAAAUUCGUAAACACGAAGGUGCCUUCUUGUCGCGUGAGGACUAUACAUCCAUAAUAACCAUUUAUAGAGGGUGGAAAUUAUUCUCUGAUUGCAGCAAGACUGAGAUCUCUAGUCGACAAUUUUUUAUUAUGUGAAUUGUUAUAUGCAAUUAGGAAGAGUUUUAGGAAACAUGGCACGCAAUAGAAAAGCAGAGGCUCUUCGUCGUUUAGGAAAUAAUGGACAUAAAAAACGAUUUGUUGCUAAGACAAGGCAGUUUACAACAGGAAGCGUUAAAUAUUUAUACCAGUGUAAGACUUGUCUAAGUUCUAGUAUAUAAGUAUAAGAAACGCAGAAAUAAAUUAUUAACUGAAAAAAAUAAUUGUUAUCCGCCGAAAAAUCAAAUAAAGAUAUCAGAAACAUGUGUUAAAAUAAAUUUACAAGAUUUAUCAGGACAUAGUUCAUUAUAUAUCAGUCAA